rnacentral:rRNA from 1 species
CCUGCCCAGUGGUUUAGUUUACGGCCGCGGUAUCUUGACCGUGCAAAGGUAGCAAAUAAAAUGUCCCCUAAAUAGGAACUAGAAUGAACGGCAUCACGAGGGUUUGACUGUCUCCCUACUUUAAUCAAUAAAAUUGAUUUUCCCGUGAAGAAGCGGGAAUAUAAAUAUAAGACGAAAAGACCCCAUGGAGCUUUAAACUUAUCAUCACUUAUCAAAAUUUUAAAACACCACUGAUAAAUAUGAGUGAUAGUUUUCGGUUGGGGCGACCCUGGAGAAAAACAAAUCCUCCAAGCUGUAAAAUAAAAAUAUGCUAGAGCAACAACUCAAACAAUCAAAACCUUGACAAAAUGACCCAGAAUGUAUCUGAUCAACGAACCAAGUUACCCUGGGGAUAACAGCGCAAUCCAUUUCAAGAGCCCCUAUCGACAAAUGGGUUUACGACCUCGAUGUUGGAUCGGGAUGUCCUAGCAACGCAGCCGCUGCUAAGGGUUCGUUUGUUCAACGAUUAAUAUCCCACGUGAUCUGAGUUUCAGACCGG